rnacentral:rRNA from 1 species
CAGUAGCCACGGUAAUACGUAGGGUGCAAGCGUUAAUCGGGAUUACUGGGCGUAAAGCGUGCGCAGGCGGUUAUAUAAGUCAGAUGUGAAAUCCCCGGGCUCAACCUGGGAACUGCAUUUGAGACUGUAUGGCUAGAGUGUGUCAGAGGGGGGUAGAAUUCCACGCGUAGCAGUGAAAUGCGUAGAUAUGUGGAGGAAUACCGAUGGCGAAGGCAGCCCCCUGGGCCAAUACUGACGCUCAUGCACGAAAGCGUGGGGAGCAAACAGGAUUAGAGACCCGAGUAGUCCCUGUCUCUUAUAA